rnacentral:rRNA from 1 species
AGGUCUUGCCUGCCCGGUGAUAAAUUAAACGGCCGCGGUAUCCUGACCGUGCGAAGGUAGCGCAAUCACUUGUCUUUUAAAUGGGGACCUGUAUGAAUGGCGGAACGAGGGCUUAACUGUCUCCCCUUUCAAGUCAAUGAAAUUGAUCUGCCCGUGCAGAAGCGGGCAUAUAAAUACAAGACGAGAAGACCCUUUGGAGCUUUAGAUAAAAAAUCAAUUACGUUAAGGGCACAUAAGCCAAACCAAGUAACACCUGAUUCCAUAUCUUCGGUUGGGGCGACCACGGGAGAAAACAAAGCUCCCAUGAGGACUGGGACUACAUCCUAAAACCAAGAAAGACAUUUCUAAGUCACAGAACAUCUGACCAUAAAGAUCCGGCCAUCUGCCGAUCAACGAACCGAGUUACCCUAGGGAUAACAGCGCAAUCCCCUUUAAGAGUCCAUAUCGACAAGGGGGUUUACGACCUCGAUGUUGGAUCAGGACAUCCUAUUGGUGCAGCCGCUAUUAAGGGUUCGUUUGUUCAACGAUUAAAGUCCUACGUGAUCU